rnacentral:rRNA from 1 species
GCGCCGUGGGGGUUGCUUACACUGACAGUCGCACGGGCAGCAAUGUCAGUGGCGGACGGGUGAGUAACGCGUAGGAACGUGUCCUGAGGUGGGGGACAACCCCGGGAAACUGGGGCUAAUACCGCAUAUGGGCUGAGGCCCAAAGCCGAGAGGCGCCUUUGGAGCGGCCUGCGUCCGAUUAGGUAGUUGGUGGGGUAAGGGCCUACCAAGCCUGCUAUCGGAAGCUGGUCUGAGAGGACGACCAGCCACACUGGGACUGAGACACGGCCCAGACUCCUACGGGAGGCAGCAGUGGGGAAUAUUGGACAAUGGGCGAAAGCCUGAUCCAGCAAUGCCGCGUGGGUGAAGAAGGUCUUCGGAUCGUAAAGCCCUUUCAACGGGGACGAUGAUGACGGUACCCGUAGAAAAAGCCCCGGCUAACUUCGUGCCAACAUCCGCGGUAAUUCUAAGGGGGCUAGCGUUGCUCGGAAUUAUUGGGCGUAAAGGGCCCGCAAGCGGCGGCACAAGUCAAGCGUGAAAUUCCUGGGCUCCACCUGGAGACUGCGCUUGAUACUGG